rnacentral:rRNA from 1 species
ACUCCUACGGGAGGCAGCAGUGAGGAAUAUUGGUCAAUGGAGGGAACUCUGAACCAGCCAUCCCGCGUGUAGGAAGACGGCCUUAUGGGUUGUAAACUACUUUUAUACAGAAGAAACGUAACCCCGUGAGGGUGCCUACGGUACNGUAGGAAUAAGCACCGGCUAACUCCGUGCCAGCAGCCGCGGUAAUACGGAGGGUGCGAGCGUUAUCCGGAUUUAUUGGGUUUAAAGGGUCCGUAGGCGGA